rnacentral:rRNA from 1 species
UGCGUAGGCGGGGCAAUUAGUCAGUGGUGAAAUCCUGCGGCUUAACCGUAGAACCGCCAUUGAUACUGUUGCCCUUGAGUAUAGUUGAGGUGGGCGGAAUGUGUAAUGUAGCGGUGAAAUGCAUAGAGAUUACACAGAACACCAAUUGCGAAGGCAGCUCACUAAGCUAUAACUGACGCUGAGGCACGAAAGCGUGGGGAGCGAACAGGAUUAGAUACCCUGGUAGUCC